rnacentral:rRNA from 1 species
GAUGAACGCUAGCGGCAGGCUUAACACAUGCAAGUCGAGGGGUAUAGUUCUUCGGAAUUAGAGACCGGCGCACGGGUGCGUAACGCGUAUGCAAUCUACCUUUCACAGAGGGAUAGCCCCAGAGAAAUUUGGAUUAAUACCUCAUAGUAUAGCAGUUUCGCAUGAAACCACUAUUAAAGUCACAACGGUGAAAGAUGAGCAUGCGUCCCAUUAGCUAGUUGGUAAGGUAACGGCUUACCAAGGCAACGAAUGGGUAGGGGUCCUGAGAGGGAGAUCCCCCACACUGGUACUGAGACACGGACCAGACUCCUACGGGAGGCAGCAGUG